AGCGCAGGCGGUUUCUUAAGUCUGAUGUGAAAGCCUUCGGCUCAACCGAAGAAGUGCAUCGGAAACUGGGAGACUUGAGUGCAGAAGAGGACAGUGGAACUCCAUGUGUAGCGGUGAAAUGCGUAGAUAUUGGAAAGAACACCGAUGGCGAAGGCACUCUACUGGGCUAUUACUGACGCUGAGGUACGAAAGCAUGGGGAGCAAACA
rnacentral:rRNA from 1 species